CCUACGGGAGGCAGCAGUGGGGAAUAUUGCACAAUGGGGGAAACCCUGAUGCAGCGACGCCGCGUGAAGGAAGAAGGUUUUCGGAUCGUAAACUUCUAUCAGCAGGGAAGAAGGAAGUGACAGUACCUGACUAAGAAGCCCCGGCUAACUACGUGCCAGCAGCCGCGGUAAUACGUAGGGGGCAAGCGUUAUCCGGAAUCACUGGGUGUAAAGGGUGCGUAGGCGGUAGGGCAAGUCAGAUGUGAAAGUCCGGGGCUUAACCCCGGAUCUGCGGUGGGUACGGGCAGACUAGAGUGCAGUAGGGGAGACUGGAAUUCCUGGUGUAGCGGUGGAAUGCGCAGAUAUCAGGAGGAACACCGAUGGCGAAGGCGACUCUCUGGACUGUAACUGACGCUGAGGCACGAAAGCGUGGGGAGCGAACAGGAUUAGAUACCCGGGUAGUC
rnacentral:rRNA from 1 species